rnacentral:rRNA from 1 species
UACGUAGGGGGCAAGCGUUGUCCGGAAUCAUUGGGCGUAAAGAGCGUGUAGGCGGCUCGGUAAGUCCGCUGUGAAAGUCCAGGGCUCAACCCUGGAAUGCCGGUGGAAACUGUCGAGCUAGAGUCCGGAAGAGGCGGGUGGAAUUCCUGGUGUAGCGGUGAAAUGCGCAGAUAUCAGGAAGAACACCCGUGGCGAAGGCGGCUCUCUGGGACGGUACUGACGCUGAGACGCGAAAGCGUGGGGAGCAAACAGG